rnacentral:rRNA from 1 species
AUUGAACGCUGGCGGCAGGCCUAACACAUGCAAGUCGAACGAGUGGCGGACGGGUGAGUAAUGUCUGGGAAACUGCCUGAUGGAGGGGGAUAACUACUGGAAACGGUAGCUAAUACCGCAUACCAUCAUAUGUGCCCAGAUGGGAUUAGCUAGUUGGUGGGGUAACGGCUCACAAGGGCGACGAUCCCUAGCUGGUCUGAGAGGAUGACCGGCCAAACGGGAACUGAGACACGGCCCAGACUCCUACGGGAGGAAGAAGUGGGGAAUAUGGGACAAUGGGCGAAAGCCUGAUGCAGCCAGGCCGCGUGUAUGAAGAAGGCCUUGGGGUUGUAAAGUACGUUCAGCGGGGAGGCGUUACCCGAAGAAGAAGCACCGGCUAACUACGUGCCAGCAGCCGCGGUAAUAC